ACUUUUAUAGUUUAUAAAAAACGUAGCGUUGAAAAUGCUGAGAAAAGCUUAGCUUUAAGAGUA
rnacentral:tRNA from 1 species